rnacentral:rRNA from 1 species
GACGAACGCUGGCGGCGUGCCUAAUACAUGCAAGUCGAACGCUUCUUUCCUCCCGAGUGCUUGCACUCAAUUGGAAAGAGGAGUGGCGGACGGGUGAGUAACACGUGGGUAACCUACCCAUCAGAGGGGGAUAACACUUGGAAACAGGUGCUAAUACCGCAUAACAGUUUAUGCCGCAUGGCAUAAGAGUGAAAGGCGCUUUCGGGUGUCGUUGAUGGAUGGACCCGCGGUGCAUUAGCUAGUUGGUGAGGUAACGGCUCACCAAGGCCACGAUGCAUAGCCGACCUGAGAGGGUGAUCGGCCACACUGGGACUGAGACACGGCCCAGACUCCUACGGGAGGCAGCAGUAGGGAAUCUUCGGCAAUGGACGAAAGUCUGACCGAGCAACGCCGCGUGAGUGAAGAAGGUUUUCGGAUCGUAAAACUCUGUUGUUAGAGAAGAACAAGGACGUUAGUAACUGAACGUCCCCUGGCGGUAUCUAACCAGAAAGCCACGGCUAACUACGUG